UGUGUGUGUUUAAUAGAGAAUACCUAACAGAGAACGUGAAACUUAAAAUGAAGUUUAAUUUAUUAUUUUUAGUUUUGGUACUUAGUGGUUUCAUGGCAGCAUCAGGUAGUCGUACUCUUGCAUCUCUUGCAAGAAAUGCACACUUUGUUGGCAAACAGGUGUUGACAGCUGGUGAAUAUGUUGGAAAAGCCUCCACCGAGUUAAAGAGGGCAUUACAUAUGAAUAAGAAAUGAAAUUCAUUAAAUAUAUAAAAUUUAAUUAGGAAAUAUCCGUUAUAAAUUUCAGGAAUAAGCAAUAAAAUUAUCAAAUUUUGAAGUUUGGAAUAUAAA